UAAGGAAUAUUGGUCAAUGGACGCAAGUCUGAACCAGCCAUGCCGCGUGAAGGAUGAAGGUCCUCUGGAUUGUAAACUUCUUUUAUCUGGGACGAAAACGGGAUUUUUAUCUCAAUUGACGGUACCAGAGGAAUAAGCACCGGCUAACUCCGUGCCAGCAGCCGCGGUAAUACGGAGGGUGCGAGCGUUAUCCGGAUUUACUGGGUUUAAAGGGUGCGUAGGUGGGCUUAUAAGUCAGUGGUGAAAUCUCCGAGCUUAACUUGGAAACUGCCGUUGAUACUAUAGGUCUUGAAUUAUCUGGAGGUAAGUGGAAUAUGUCAUGUAGCGGUGAAAUGCUUAGAUAUGACAUAGAACACCAAUUGCGAAGGCAGCUUACUACAUAUAAAUUGACGCUGAGGCACGAAAGCGUGGGGAUCAAACA
rnacentral:rRNA from 1 species